GUAAACGGCGGCCGUAACUAUAACGGUCCUAAGGUAGCGAAAUUCCUUGUCGGGUAAGUUCCGACCUGCACGAAUGGCGUAACGAUGGCCACACUGUCUCCUCCAGAGACUCAGCGAAGUUGAAAUGUUUGUGAUGAUGCAAUCUCCCCGCGGAAAGACGGAAAGACCCCAUGAACCUUUACUGUAGCUUUGUAUUGGACUUUGAACAGAUCUGUGUAGGAUAGGUGGGAGGCUUUGAAGCUAGGACGCUAGUUCUAGUGGAGCCAACGUUGAAAUACCACCCUGGUGUGUUUGAGGUUCUAACCUAGGUCCCUAAUCGGGAUCGGGGACCGUGCAUGGUAGGCAGUUUGACUGGGGCGGUCUCCUCCCAAAGUGUAACGGAGGAGUUCGAAGGUACGCUAGUUACGGUCGGACAUCGUGACGAUAGUGCAAUGGCAUAAGCGUGCUUAACUGCGAGACUGACAAGUCGAGCAGGUGCGAAAGCAGGACAUAGUGAUCCGGUGGUUCUGAAUGGAAGGGCCAUCGCUCAACGGAUAAAAGGUACUCUGGGGAUAACAGGCUGAUACCGCCCAAGAGUUCAUAUCGACGGCGGUGUUUGGCACCUCGAUGUCGGCUCAUCUCAUCCUGGGGCUGUAGCCGGUCCCAAGGGUAUGGCUGUUCGCCAUUUAAAGAGGUACGUGAGCUGGGUUUAAAACGUCGUGAGACAGUUUGGUCCCUAUCUUCCGUGGGCGCUGCAGAUUUGAAGAAGCCUGCUCCUAGUACGAGAGGACCGGAGUGGACACACCUCUGGUGUAUCGGUUGUCACGCCAGUGGCAUUGCCGAGUAGCUAAGUGUGGAAGAGAUAACCGCUGAAAGCAUCUAAGCGGGAAACUCGUUUCAAGAUGAGAUCUGCCGGGGCCUUGAGCCCCCUAAAGAGUCGUUCUAGACCAGGACGUUGAUAGGUUGGGUGUGGAAGCGCAGCAAUGCGUUAAGCUAACCAAUACUAAUUGCUCGUGCGGCUUGACCCU
rnacentral:rRNA from 1 species